rnacentral:rRNA from 1 species
GCCCUUUAGUGCUGCAGCAAACGCAUUAAGCACUCCGCCUGGGGAGUACGGUCGCAAGACUGAAACUCAAAGGAAUUGACGGGGGCCCGCACAAGCGGUGGAGCAUGUGGUUUAAUUCGAAGCAACGCGAAGAACCUUACCAGGUCUUGACAUCCUCUGACAACCCUAGAGAUAGGGCUUCCCCUUCGGGGGCAGAGUGACAGGUGGUGCAUGGUUGUCGUCAGCUCGUGUCGUGAGAUGUUGGGUUAAGUCCCGCAACGAGCGCAACCCUUGAUCUUAGUUGCCAGCAUUCAGUUGGGCACUCUAAGGUGACUGCCGGUGACAAACCGGAGGAAGGUGGGGAUGACGUCAAAUCAUCAUGCCCCUUAUGACCUGGGCUACACACGUGCUACAAUGGGCAGAACAAAGGGCAGCGAAGCCGCGAGGCUAAGCCAAUCCCACAAAUCUGUUCUCAGUUCGGAUCGCAGUCUGCAACUCGACUGCGUGAAGCUGGAAUCGCUAGUAAUCGCG